rnacentral:rRNA from 1 species
UAGGGAAUCUUCGGCAAUGGGGGGAACCCUGACCGAGCAACGCCGCGCGAGUGAAGAAGGUUUUCGGAUCGUAAAGCUCUGUUGUUAAGGAAGAACGAGUGUGAGAAUGGAAAGUUCAUGCUGUGACGGUACUUAACCAGAAAGGGACGGCUAACUACGUGCCAGCAGCCGCGGUAAUACGUAGGUCCCGAGCGUUGUCCGGAUUUAUUGGGCGUAAAGCGAGCGCAGGCGGUUAGAAAAGUCUGAAGUGAAAGGCAGUGGCUCAACCAUUGUAGGCUUUGGAAACUGUUUAACUUGAGUGCAGAAGGGGAGAGUGGAAUUCCAUGUGUAGCGGUGAAAUGCGUAGAUAUAUGGAGAAACACCGGUGGCGAAAGCGGCUCUCUGGUCUGUAACUGACGCUGAGGCUCGAAAGCGUGGGGAGCGAACAGG